UACGUAGGGACCAAGCGUUGUCCGGAAUCAUUGGGCGUAAAGAGCGUGUAGGCGGCUUGUUAAGUCUUGCGUGAAAUCUCGGGGCUCAACCCCGAGCGGUCGUGAGAAACUGGCAGGCUAGAGUGCGGGAGAGGAGAGUGGAGUUCCUGGUGUAGCGGUGAAAUGCGCAGAUAUCAGGAAGAACACCCGUGGCGAAGGCGGCUCUCUGGAACGCAACUGACGCUGAGACGCGAAAGCGUGGGGAGCAAACAGG
rnacentral:rRNA from 1 species